UACGAAGGGGGCUAGCGUUGUUCGGAAUCACUGGGCGUAAAGGGCGCGUAGGCGGCUUUGUAAGUCGGGGGUGAAAGCCUGUGGCUCAACCACAGAAUUGCCUUCGAUACUGCAUGGCUUGAGACCGGAAGAGGUAAGUGGAACUGCGAGUGUAGAGGUGAAAUUCGUAGAUAUUCGCAAGAACACUAGUGGCGAAGGCGGCUUACUGGUCCGGUUCUGACGCUGAGGCGCGAAAGCGUGGGGAGCAAACAGG
rnacentral:rRNA from 1 species